ensembl:lncRNA
AAACUACCCUUAGCUGGAGAGCCAUACUGUUUUUUCCGCUUUCUUACAGUGGCUGUUGGUUGUUCUUAAUCACCUGCCUCACGCAGGCAGGCACUGGCUGGGGAGCUAAGGGAAGGGCUGAGUCCAAAACACAUGGUAACUAAGCAGCAGGACUUGAGACGCUGUCUGGAAAAACAACAGAGACUCACCUCCUACUAUUUUUCUUCCAGGGAAGCAGCUCCCAUUGCGCCAUUUUCCUGGCAGAAGAAGUUAUGAUCUUCAGGAAAAAGCUUCUUUCAGAGUGGGUUAUGUUUUAAUUUGUUGUUGUUGCUGUUGUUUUCAAGCUGUGUAUGUGUGAGGAAAUGGCAUGGAGUGGAGGGGGGAAGUUGUCUCUGACAUCUGCAGGUUCAUCUUGGAAAGAGUGGAAGGAGGGAGGACUGAAGUACAUGGCCUGCAUCUGUUCCAAGAGGAACCCGAACAGAAGGAGGUUGUACUUCUUUUCCUGUUUGUACUUCUGGAGAUGAUGCCAUUAAUUAUGUGUUUACAACACUUCAACUCUUCUUCCUAGCUUAGGCUCAAAGCUCAUAGUCCUGACUCAGCUCCAAAAAUCCACUGAGGUAGGUGGGACAGUCGUUCUGACACAAUAUUUAAUAUCAGGCCUAAAGGCUGGAUCUAGUCAAAGAAAAACAUCUACUCUAUGAAAGCAAAUGUAUCUUAUAAACGGUAGAAGCUGCUCCCCACUCACUGGAUGCUGAAGACAGAGGAUGGUUGUACUUCCUCAGCCAUCAUCAUCCAUAGCAUUUACUGUGGGGAUGACAGCUGUCUCCUGAUAAUGAUUUCCCUAGCACAGCAAUGUCCAGCCAGCAGCCAGAUUUCACCAAGAAUCUGUGAGGGACACCUUGAGAACUCACUGAGAAUUGCAGUUACUUCCUCUGAACCAGACUGACGUGUUAGUUUCACAAAAACAAGGUCACAUAUCCCACUGGUUUUAUGUUUUUGUUGUUCUCUUCUUUAUAUGUUUUAAUAGAAGAACAUUAAAAAUUAAAGUAAGUUUUGUCACUUAUAUACAUUAUCAAUAUUAUAAGAGCUGCUCCAAAAGUAAUACCUCCUGCUUUAUGGUGUCAGCUCAGGAUGUCAGAGGUGGGCAUUGGUGGUAUGGCAGAAGUUGAACCUUCCCACCACAAUUCCAUUACGUUUUGUUGCUGUGUGACAGAUGGCAGCAGAGGGACGGUCUGACACAAUGAAGUCUGACAUGGAAGUGCAUAUGAAGCAAAGGUGUGUAAUUGAAUUCCUUCAUGUGGAGAAAAUGGCACCCACUGACAUUCAUUGGCACUUGCUGGAGACUAAACCAUGGAUGUGAGCACAGUGAGGUGGUGGCUGGUACAUUUCAGCAGUGAUGACAGCAACAGUGAGUGACCUCAACUAGUGCAGAUUGUUACGAGCACAGCAUGCGGGCUUUUGUUCAUUUUGUUAAUUGUUUAUUUACAACUAAUGGUGGUGACUGCGUUGAAAAAGAGUGUUUUAUAGCUGAGAAUAUUCUCUGUUCAGUAGUGUUAUUGUGCUCUCUGUAUCUGAGGUAGUUUCCAUGGAAACAAUUAGGAGGCAUUACUUUCAGAGCAGCCCUCAUAGAUGCAGCCCUACACAAUUCCUCUUCACUCAAUGCAGCCAGGCAAGCCAAAAGGUUGAACACCCAUUUCUUGGCACGAACAGGAUAAAGGACAUCCUUUCUUCUGAAACUACUCCUUCUCUUAAAAGCUUGAUGAAAUAUUUCGUUCAAAUUUUAAGGUGACAAAAGCAGAUGAAUAAUUCUCAUUUAAUACUGUUUACUGUGGACUUCUUUUCACAUCCUAUGGUGAUUUCCCUUUUUUUUUCCAUCAGUUUGAUUACAGCCAGUCAGCCAUAAUUCAAGCAUCCUGGCAUGCACCAGCUAGUGUCACAGCAGUGUCCUUGGGAGGCCAGGCUUUCAAAGGAUGCAGUGAGUGCUUCUGAAAAGAAGCAAAUUUAAUGUCUUAAAGCUACCUUGAGAAUCACAGAACAUUGUUUGUACACUCACACUGUGCCCUAGCAAAUGCUCUUCAUCUUGCAUGAAUGGAGAUAUGCUGUACCCAUAUAUGUAAGCCAGUUAAUUGCUUCUGGAGUUCGCUUUAAAAAAAUUACUUCUAAAUGACAGGAUUCACAUAAACAGAGCAAUCUGAUGCCUGAACCUGUGCUUCAAAAAGACACCUUAAAUUUCGGUGAUAAGGAGCUUGUAUGAAAGCUUGUAAUUGAAAGCUGGAGUGAAUUAGGCAUGUAUGCAGAUAUGUGUAUUAGAAUGUGCUACAGUGAGGGAUGCCCUGCCAACAGAUCCCUGUGCCUUUGUGCAGUUUUGGUAGAGAAUGAUGGAAAGUUGCACAGAAUCAGAGGUUGCCACAGCAGUAUCUUUGAAACCCUCUUUUAAUAUUCAUGAAAGAGUCAUAAAAAACUUUUUUGAAUGAUAGCAUAUUUAAUGACAGUCACUGAGUCAUAUGAAACCAAUCUUCUUUUUCAUAUAACAAACAAACUGAGACAUCUGUCCUAUAAAAUAACAGUAGGCUGUGUCUCAUGAAGACACUGUUUUGGAUUGAUGUGAAUCUAAAUGAACAAAAACUGAUACUCGGGUUUUCAGUUUUGUAACUGAUUUCCUAUAGUUUAAUCCCCUGACAUGUGAAUGCAUCCCUAUCUGUACAGUAGUGUUUCGUGUAAUAUUUGAAGCAGAUUUUCAAUACCUCACACAGAAAAUACUGACUCAGCUUCACUGUUAGUGUGAAAAGAACGAACAGUUUCUUUCUCACAGCCUGCUGACAUAACGGUCUUCCCUUGGAGUAUUUCAGUCCUUGCUCAUCUUGGGAUUAAUGGAACCAGUACUUACAGCUGCAGUGCCAGAGGCAGGACCCAUAUAUUUCUUUGACCAGAUGAAAGCUAGAAUGAAAGAGAGGGACAGGGAGAUAUCAGGAGAAGUGUCCUCGUAUUGCCACGCGCUCACUACAAAUCCUCAUUCCAUCAGCUGUACUCCCAGGUAAUGGUGUCAUGUCAGUAGUGGUGGGAGCAGGCAAGUUUCUGUAAACUAGUUUUUCAGGAAAGGCACAAAUGAGUCCUGAGGUAGAUGUGGUCAAGGCAGAAUGGGGUAGCUGGGGAGGUGAAUGACCAGAGGUGAUACCCUGCCAUGCAGUGGGAGGAGAGGGAGACAAGUGGGAAGGUGGUAGUGUCCUGUACCGACUCCUCACUUCUUGAGGUGUGUUACCUAAUAUUCAUUUCUGCUGUCAACAUUUCAUGAGUUUAAUAUGUUUAAUGUACAAAUCUUGAACUAAGAGUCUUGAGCACUGCAUUUCAGCAGGCAUAGUUCAAAGUGUACACUGUCAGUGCAGAUGUUCCCUGGUUUGGCAAUGGCUGCACUAGAUUGUCUCCUGCUGCUCUGCACAAGUAUUUCAGAGCUUGAUCUAGGAGCGUCCUUGGGAGGAAAUGUGGUGCAGUCUCAACUGUGAAAGGGGCACUGCCAGCCUCUGCAUGUUGGUUUGAGGCAGCAAAACUGUUCUGUGUGUCCUUUAAUUGUUAUUGCUCUCACUGAACUAUCCAGCUGUUUUUACUCCUCGGCCUGACUGAAGGCAGGAAUCCCUUCUGCGCAGGGGAGUAUACAGAAAGACAUGAAGAUGGUUUCUUAAAUGUUGAUACAAAAAAAAGAGAAAGAUCCAGUUUUGCAUCAAAUAUCUCAUCAUUCCCUGUAUAAAACCACUACAGAGGACUCAAACCCAAAGGUCUCCCAACGUGCUCUGAUCCCACAGGCAGACAAGGACUCACUCACCACUUAACAUGUUGAAUAAGUCUGCAUCUGCAACUUGGGGAGAAGUGGCAGCUCCUGGCUAGGUAUCAGACUGGUUUUCCACUGGAACUUGUAACUGUGCUUACCUGCAGCUGGAGGGAACUCACUGUGAGGGCUGAUUUCUGUAAACGGCAGCAGAAGUUGCUAUCAUACAGAAGCAUGAGAUCCAGGAGAAGCCAGGCCUCAGAGGAGGUUAAGAAUAGUACUCUGGCAUCCAAAUGUAAGGAGCAUGAAAUCACUGCCAUCAGAAAAGAACAACACAAGAAAGGCUUUAUUCUAUCAGCCUGCACUACAAAGGGAGAAAUAAAUCCUGAGACAGCAUCAAAUGCACCUUCAGAAAGUGAAGGUAAUACAGUGCUGCACAAAUGUGCUGUGUUGUAACGUUUGGCCAAAAAAAAGGAAAAAAGUGCUUUCUGUUAAGAAUACACCAUUGGCUGGAUAGGCCAAUGUGCUCCAGCUUAUAACUUGAUAUACUGCAGUUCUUUGCAAAGCACUAGUUUAGGACAUGAUGAAAUAGCUUUGCAGCUGAAGCAAGAGGUACAAACACUUGAGAAGAACAAAGCCGGUGAAACUGGGCAAUGUUUCAAGUCAUUUAGCAAAGCAUUUUUAGUCUCCUCUUUCAAGGUGAGUGAUAGAGUCAUAACACAUUGCACCAGUAGAGAAGAUUUGCAUCUAAAGCAUUUCAUUCUGCGAGUAUCAGUGAUUGCAAGUGCUGAACCUAGUGUUGGGAAGAAGCCUGUUACAGUUCUCCAGGUAAUACUCACCUCUUUAAAAAGAAAUCAAUAUUAAUUUUUAAAAGCAGACUUACCUUUCCAUGUGUGUUCCUAAGCACUGCAUUCUCCUUUCUUUGUGUUUAUCUCCUGCUGCGCAAAAUGAUGCUGACCAGUCACCCAUCACAGUCAGCUUCUCACUUUCAUCCAACAUUUGUGAGGAACAAGGUUUGAUUUUCCAGCUUUCUAACCCAAAGUCUGAAGAAGUUCAUCAGAAUCUGCCUUAUGUGUGGACCCUGGUGAGACCUGAGCAAGUUCAAAAACAAAUGUAACAAACUGAGAUUUUUACCUCCAUAAACAAAGUUAGAGUAUAUGGCAAUGUUUUUAUGAGGUGGAACACUUAACCAAACCAACAGACUAUAUGGGGGAGUGUUACUGCUCUGAAAACUCCCAGAGUUCAGUUUAGCACUUCACUAUUAAUGAAAGGGAAACAUACUUUUAUUUCUGUUGGUGGUAAUGGAAGAAAAUAAUUAUCCCAACAGAAGCAUUUUCAGAGAUUAGUGGUGAGACAAUAAUUUUGAUUAAUCUGAAGAUAAACUUCCCAGUAGUUAUGAAAACCUGACUGUAUAUCUUUUGCAAUAGCAACCAUGGCGCAUUAAGGCUAUUUAGUAUUAUGAAAAUAUGCAGUGAUCUGUAGCCUGUUUACUUGUCAGGGCCUGAGUGAGGGCUGCCAUAAGAUAAUGUGGCCAGAAUCAGGCCAUGAGACUUCUUCAUGCUGUUUAUGCUUAAACCUUCUGUUUUUACAUAGCACGAGAUGGACUUACAACCCUGACGACUCAUCACAUAGAGUUAGCCACGUGUUAAAAAUGUAUGGUGGCCUCCAAGUUAGUCGGUCAUUCUUUAUACUGACUAUAUUGCUAAGAUAGUUUCAAAGGAAAGCAGGAGAUGUCUGAAAUAGCUAAGAUCUGCCCUGCCUGGAUCAAUUAUCUGAAGAAGAAGUGCUGGCAUUUUAUAAACGAGGCAAAGUUUAAGUGAAAAAAUAUUCUGAUAGCUAUAAGCAUUAAUUACCUACAGCAACAGUUACUAAAAGUUAACCUGUGUAAUUUAUCUACAGCACAGUAUCUGAAUUUCAGCUGUUAUAUGUAGUACUAUUUAAAUGAUAGUUCCUGUACACUGGCAAAAAAAAAUUAAAAACAUAUUCAGAUUGAGUGAAAUCAGCACUGUGUUGCAGGUGAAAAUUGGUGAGAAUAGGUUUAGCAGCUAGUGGCUGUGUAAGAACUGGCACUUAUCAGUAAGAAUGUACAUGCUACCAUGUAUAUAGCACAUUGUAAAAUAUAGUUAUUUUAUUAUAAUAUGCAUAUUAUUCCCGGAAUGCGUCUUGGUCACUGCUUUAAUCCUUGGGGAACUGAGUACCCUAAAGUCCAGGAUAAUUGCUUUUGGAGCAAAAGUUGGAGUUGGCUUUGCUUCACCAACCUCUGUCUGCCUCCAAUAGCUGUAUAAUGUGAUUGCAAAACAAAGCAAAAGAAAAGCAAUGUGACAAUUAAGCUUAAAUAAAAUACUUAAUUAAAAUACUUGUGGCUUAUCCUGGAAACAGUCUAUGUUCUGAUCAUUAAAAUGAGCGUUGUUGUCUUCCCACCCACAAGACAUGCCAUGUCCUAUACAUACCUCUUUUAGAGAACACACUAAAAUGUAAGUAUCUGUUACUUACUCUUCCAAACUGUGGGCUUUGAUAUAGGCCAGCGUGUAAUUGUUAAGAACUGAUAGAGCUCAUGCAGGUGCUGAGAAUGCAUUUCCUUACCUCUGGCACAACUAUUCUGGAGUCCACCAUAUCGCUGUUCCCAAAAGCUCAGCAGUCUGUUGACUUAAUUAUCUAAUUGAAGGCAACAUUUAUGCCACAAAUAGUGGUAGGGUCUCCUAACAAGAAAAGUGUUCCUUCUCACAGUAUCUGAGCAUGUUUCCUUUCCAGCAUUUGCAGACCCUAUUGGCCCAUUAGGUUGGAAGUAAAACGAUGCCCCUCAUCUUGCAGUACUCCAGUGCUGUUGCCAGAUUUCUGUGUCAGUGCUGUGGAAGUUGGCUUUGUGUUCCUGAAUAACUGUGCUUAGCAUAGUCAGCAAAAACUUUAUACUGAGCAAUAUUUAAUGGCAAAAUUUAAACAGCAAGAAAUAUUGGAUCGAAGACAAAAAUGUUCCUUUGAUUUCUAUCAGCUAAUGUUUUACAUAAUUAGCUUUCCUCAAAAUUGACUGGCUUUUUUGCUCUUUCUUUUUUUUUCUUUAAUGGCUUUAUUUGUCUAGUGCUACUAGAUGAUCUGCAUGGUUUUUUGGUAACUGCUUAAAGAGCAAAAAAAGGCAUGCAUGGACUCAUAUACACAUGUAAAACAGUACAUAUAGAAAGUCUAAUUGAAAAGAACGUCAGCCAAAGGCUGUCAGGACUAACAAGCUGUCUGCUAGAUUUGGGGCCAUUCAGCCAGCCUCAAACUCUGCCUCUGUGCUUCUUUCUUAUGAUCAGGGACUGAAAUAGAUACGAAGAAAAUCUUAAAGGAAAUUUUAAACUGUUUUAAUAUUGUUGUUUCUCUGAAAGGUGAAAUGAAUAAUAGGAAAAAAAGAAUAACACAGUGAGUGCAUGUAAUCCAGGAUGGUGAAAGUGACCUACUGAUGGACAGAUCUGCAGCAGAGAUACUGGCCCUUGCUGUCAGUGGAUCUCUGCUAUGUGUGGGUGUGGAGGAUUGGUGCAGUCAGUUCUAUUGCCAGCUUAACCACAGGUGACCUGCGUGAUCUUGAGUAACUUAUUUGACUCCUUUGUAUAUGAGAGCAAUGUGUGAUAUUUUAUAGCUGAGAAACUACCGUAUGUUUUCUGCUUAGGUCAAACUUCAUUCUUAAUCAAGAGAAGCCUUGCCUGAGGAUUCCACUUAGCAAGAACUAAUCGAAGUUAUAUUUUUUUUCCUCCCUCAUGUAAACAGAAAAGAGCAAGCAUUUAACCUGAAAGAAGUUGGGUUUGACAAACCAAUUAUUCUACAGCAUUAUGGUGAUUACAGAGGAGAAACUUUCCCCAGGACAUGGAAGGUUCAGGCUGGCAGGACUGUCACAUCAAAGCUGCCAUAUGACAAACCUCAGAUUCCAGUGGUCAAGAGAGCAAACACAGCACAGAGAAAACUGCACUACAGACUGAAUGAUGGCUCAUCCUUCAUUUAAUAUCCUUUCUUAAGCUCACUUAAAUUCCUGUAAGUGUGUGAAAGGCAGGGGGAGGACUUCUACCGAAGGACAAUCACACAGCGUGUAGCUGAACCGCUUCCAAAAUCCAGCUACAUAUAAAAGAACAAGACUUUAUUCUUUGGGCUUCUUAUCAGACUCUAUUUAUAUGGUACCACAUCUAUAGUCGGUCUACAACAGCAAAGCCCAGUGUGCGUCAGGUGGGUUGAAAGGCAUAAAAAAAAAAAAAAAACCCAAAAAAAACUGCAGAAUGAACAAUGCAGUUUUAAAUUAACAGUAUCAGACUGCAAACUAUUUAAAGUAUGACCUUGUCGUGAACAAAGACCACUUUAUCAAUCACAAACAUAAUCACAAACAUCAAGAUGUAUUAGGAACUGUGCAAGUCUGCUCUGUUACAAGUCCACAGAAGACACCAUGCCUCAUAAACCUACUUCUGAGUCAUACAUUGCUCCUGCAAAGGACACUUUUGACCUGUACCAGCAUGAGUUUCCUGCUAUCUUUUAUUAGUUCAGUAACGUGAAUUUUGUGCUGAGAGCUUUGCCUGCUCAUCCUCUAUCACUCCCAAUCCACUUAUUCAAGGAAGAAGAUGACUGGGUUGGUAGCUUCGCUUUCUCUUAUGCACAUGGACUGAAUACCCUGUCUUAGAGCUGAUGAUGUUAGUCCCUGUGUUCUCUGCAUGGUUAAGUAACAGAAGCUACAGAGUUGGAGAGAGAAUGAUAACUUAACUCCUUGACUCUCAUUUUAGCUAUCCAUCUGAAUAUCUUGCGGUUUGCCAGAGCUGCUGCAAUCUCCCAUGUAGGGGGAUGUAUACCAACAUAUUUAGCCCUUCUCCAGAUCAUUCUAUAGGUGGAACUUUCACCUCUUUUGGACAUGGCAGCAUCUAUCUUCCUAACAGCAACACUGUAACCAUGAUGUUUAAUCAGGAAGGAGGUCUGGUGACUAAUGAAGAUGAAGAAAUGGUCAGAGAAUGGAAAUGGCCUCGGGAUGGCAAGCUGGCCCAGCCAGUUAUAGCACGGGUUAAUGAAUUCAUCACAGUGAGGAUUGCAGGACGCUUUGCAAUUAGCUUGGUCUACAAGUGGCAACAUGAAAGUAUGUGCUUGUCUUUGUCACGGCCGCGGGGUGCGGCUCUUCCGCGGUUAGAAGAAUCGGUAUGUUGCAACUGCUGCAGUACUGCACUUUAUCAACUUUGUUCUGCAGAUUCUGGAACUGAUGAGCUUUUCUAUAAAAUAUGCUUCCCGAUGUUAGCACUAAGAGCAGUGCUACAGAGUGAUCAAAUUAGGCCUUCCGGAGAGUGAAUAAAAAGCAGAUUUAUGCUGAUGACUACCUACUACAGAUCUGGCCCAAAGGGACACAGCUUUCCACGCGCUUAGAUUCCUAUUUAUGCUUCCUCCCCCCCCCCAGACUUAGCCCAGUACGAGGUGGUUAUACCUUUUUGUGCUGCAGAUGGUGUACUGAAUGAUGCCCUAAGAAAUCCUGAUCCAAAUCUUCCUUUCCUUCAUUUCUGUGCAGUGAGCUGGCUGUCUAUCUAGGUUUAUCAUCUAGCCAAAGCCUGAUAUCUUCAUGUCUUUCAGUUCAAUGUUGGGUUGAAAUACAUGUUGUUAGAACAGAUUUUUGUGUGUGUGUGAUUUUGGGGUCAGGAAAAAAUAGUUAUGAAACAAUUGUUGGAAAAGCAGAAGAAAUCUGUCAUCCAAGUAAAACAAAAAUAAAACAGAUCACGCUGGUUCAGAGUUAAUUUCCUUCUCCCUGUAAGUAUUUAGUCUAGAAAUUGUAGAAACAGACACUGUGGAUUUGUAAUAGGCAUGUAUAUACAUAUCAUUGAGUUUAAAAGAAAUUUAGAUUAACUCCUAAACUUCUGAGAAGUUAAAUUUGUCAGAGUUUUUAAAUGGCUUUUCAUAAAAGAAGUAUUUCACUAUAUGUAGCACAUAGGCUUAGGUGUUAGGAUGUGGCCCAUCGAGCAACUUCAAGUAGCAUCACCAUCAUUAGCUGAAAAACCUGACUUCUCACUCAGGCACAUUUCCACUGAUGUGGGAAAGGAAAUGUUCUAAAUGAGGGAAGAUAAAGGUAGUAAAUGAACAAAUUCAAACAAUUAACUAUUUUUCAUUUGUUUGGAAACAAAAAUCACUCAAUUUGUGUUUCAUAAGAUGGACUGCUGCUUUUUUAACAGUUUGUCAAUUCUUUGAUUAAAGAAGAUGAGAGACUCCUAAUAUAGCCUAUAAUACCUCUGUAAAACUGGGAUGAGAAUCAACAUCUUAUUCCCUCUAGCUCCAGAAAAGCCUGGGCCAUAACAAUAAUAGAGCUACCCUUGAGUUCUUGUAAGACUGCCAUCUGAAACACCACCAGAAAAAGGCUUCCUGAGAUUAAUGAU